GUUGUUUUCUGAACUUAUUAGAUGGCAGGGCUCUGGAAACUUCUCUGCCCCCUGGUGCCGUCUCUAAUGGCAGUGCCAGACUGAUGCUUCCACAUUGGAGGACUCAAUACAAGAUGCGGCAGAAACAAUGUAAACAAAGUCCAAGGACCAGAUGGUAUUCACCCAUGAGCACUUAAGGAACUAAGUGUUAAAAUAAGCAAACCUCUAUUUUCACUAUUUUAGGAAACUUACUGGAG